rnacentral:lncRNA from 1 species
UGGGGAUGUAACGGAGGGGGACGCAGAUUCUGCGUGGUGAGGAACUGUAAGAGUGGUUGGCGUGUGAAUGACGGUGCGUGCAACGCACUAUAAGCCGCUUGUGCCAUUGCGCUAGCGGAUGUUCCUGGGCGGACGGCAGAGUCGCCCUAAUGCUUGGGAAUUGGCGCCUAGCGCACAGGAACUCGCCUGCAGUACGCUGUUGCGGGUGUUCCCGGGCGCCUUCUUAACACGCAGGGCAGUCGUCCACAGCCAGAUUCAGCUGACAGCGUCCAGGCAGAGGUAUCUAGGGAUUGGGGGGGGGCACGUGAGGCAACAGCAGCAGCGGGAGGCAUUUUGUGGGGAAAUGAGGCAACCGACGGACUACCACACUAGAUGCUGUGGGGCUGUAGCAUCAACCCCAAGAUGCAACCGAUCUGCACCAAGUUUUUCUCGGAACAGACACUGGUGUUCAAAACCCUAAGACCGGUCUUUGGUUGCGAGCAGCUCCCCGAAGACUGGGCGACUGAGCAUACGACUUGUGCAGCUGGUAUGCAAUGCGCUGAGGGACGGAUUUCGCAAGAUGAGCGCUGUCCAUAAUUUCCAUUUUAUUAAAUUAGGAAGCCCAAGGGUUGAAGGGUUGCUUCGGCGCAACCUGAGAGGUUUUGUCGUCAAAACAAGGUGGCGAGUAGCUCCAGAGAUACGUGUUGUACAGUAUAUGGAGUAUUUGGCCUACCACCAGCUAGUCCAACAAACGUACUCUCAACGAAGACGAAGCGCGAAACCUAGUUCUAGUUCAAGUCCGUCUCUGGCCAGUGUUUAUUCCCCCACAGCUGCGUCUUAUGACGCAUCGGGGUAUGCAGCCAGAUUAGCGUUCGUGUUUGAUUGUUACUGCUAGCACCUCACCUCGUUAUUUCCCCCUUCCUGUCGCACUGGUCCUACAUGUUUUGACAUAUGUGUGUACCGCGUUCGUGAGGCUAUUGCACACGAGUUCCGUUGGAUUGUCCGCUCCCGCCUUGGCGGACCCGCUUGCUGAAUGUUGAAGGGCCGUGAGAGCGCGAAUUACCUUCUCAUACGGGCUUUUGUUCCACGUAUGGGCGUUACAACUUACAGACUUUCAACCUUUACCCAAGCUUGCCCAACUGCUGUGUCGCACUUUCAUAGGUGGACCGCAAGCUGCUGGGUGGCUUUGUCCUGGAGUUUGAGGACCGCCUUGUGGACAUGAGCAAGGCCAAGAAGCUGGAGGAGUUCAACAACCUCGUCACCAAGCUGGAGAACGACCUCAAGUGAUGUCCUUGAGAACCUCACACGCGGCAUGGAUGUGUGACGUGAAGGAGGCGCACGGAAGGGUUCUUUCAACUUCCUGGCUGCUCUCUCUUUA